UACAGAGGUCUCAAGCGUUGUUCGGAUUCAUUGGGCGUAAAGGGUGCGUAGGCGGCGCGGUAAGUCGGGUGUGAAAUCUUGGAGCUUAACUCCGAAACUGCAUUCGAUACUGCCGUGCUUGAGGACUGGAGAGGAGACUGGAAUUUACGGUGUAGCGGUGAAAUGCGUAGAUAUCGUAAGGAAGACCAGUGGCGAAGGCGGGUCUCUGGGCAGUAACUGACGCUGAGGAGCGAAAGCGUGGGGAGCAAACAGG
rnacentral:rRNA from 1 species